GAUGAAGAACGUAGCAAAAUGCGAUACUUGGUGUGAAUUGCAGAAUCCCGUGAACCAUCGAGUUUUUGAACGCAAGUUGCGCCCGAAGCCUUUUGGCCGAGGGCACGUCUGCCUGGGCGUCACGCAUCGCGUCGCCCCCCCACAAUUCUCCGUAAAGGGAACAUGUGUUUUGGGGGCGGAUAUUGGUCUCCCGUGCUCAUGGCGUGGUUGGCCGAAAUAGGAGUCCUUUCGAUGGACGCACGAACUAGUGGUGGUCGUAAAAACCCUCGUCUUUUAUUUCGUGCUGUUGCUCGCAAGGUAAACUCUUUAAAAACCCCAAUGCGUCGUCUCUUGACGACGCUUCGACCGCGACCCCAGGUCAGGCGGGACUACCCGCUGAGUUUAAGCAUAUCAAUAAGCGGAGGA
rnacentral:misc_RNA from 1 species